UGGGCCUUUGGCUUCCUGUCACACAGCCGUGCGACAAGGGGCAGGUUUCUGAAGGACCAGAGAGAAAAGGGGUCUGUUGUUCUCGGGGGCACAGGCUUGCUGGUGGCAUCCCGCACAGACACUCUCUCCUCACAGCUCCCACCACGGGGACUGGAGGCAGGAGGAGCCGACGGGCCCCUGGAACGGCCGCGGUGCGUCCCGAGGUGGGAGCCGCAAGCCCGAGGCUCGGCCGAGUCCCAGGGGACCCUAACGGAGGCCGGGCUGGAAGGCCAAGGUGGCUGCCACGUGGGAAGGUAUCCUUGACGUCCAGACCCUGGAGAAGGAAUCGGGAGCCACCACCCAAAGCAACUGUCCAGGAAAAGUGGUCGCGCUUCAGCCAUCGCGCUGGGCUAGGUCUUCCAAGCGAACCCCCUGUUGGAGCCUCUGCCGUCUAACGUCACCUAAUGUAGCCGAACCUGCCAAGACCCUGGCUACUUAACUGGAACCCAGACCAGGGCGAUCCCCGAGUGUUGCGAGCCCACCUUCCUCUUCCUCGACGGUGGCUCCAGCCCCUUCAUGUCGCCUCCAAGCUCCUGCCCAAGUGUUCCCACCCGCACUGCUGGGAGCAGCUCCUCUGUGUUUUCAGGGCCACUUUGCUGUCGUCCUUUGAAGGUUCUCUUGGCGACUCUAGGAAGACUCCGUGGUACAGGUGACCUUCUGUAUCUGUGGAGGAUCGGUUCCCAGAUACCCCCGCCCACGGAUCCCAAAAUCCCAGGAGCCAAGCCUUGUCUAAAGUGCCGGAGUGCAGCCUGGCCUCCAGAACGCGUGAGAACAGAGCAGCCGUACUCUGUUUCCAACGAGCCGAUGGCCAAAGCCCCGCUGUGCGUGUUCUCUAUGGACUGAACAGCCAGUGGCCCUGUAGCAGUGAAGCCUCACACCGUCCUCCAGGCUGGAAGGGACCCUUGAGUCACAGAACUUGCCAGUUUGCAAACAUGUCUCUAGUUGUAACAACUUUCAUCUGUCAAAUGAGGGCUCUUCAUUUCUAAGGUUCUAGAAGCCGGCCGUGGUCAUAUAGUCCCUCAGCUGGGUGUACUGAAAUCUGGGCCAGAGGCACAGCUUCCUCGCUAAGACACCCCCCCACCCCAGCACCCUGCACACACACACAGGCAGAGGCCAAGCUGCCUGCCUCCCCGCACCCCCUAGAAUGCUAACCACUGGGGACCGAGGGGUAGUUCCUACCUUUUAUAUCCUUACAUACUGAAUCUGGCGCUGGCUCCUGGGCUGCAUCUUCUUAACUGCAAACACUCUAUACCAUCCCUCUCUGGUUCCACCAGCCACCACCCUCCUUCCGUGUCCUCCUCUGAACGUGCCUGAUAAAGGCUUUUGAGUGACUGAAUGAGUGGACGGCUCCCAUCUUCUGUCAUCUCAAUGAGUGCUGCUCCCCAGCUGACUGGAACCAGACGCCCUAGUUCCCAGGCUGGGUUUCCCUCCAGAUGUGUUCUCCUGCGGUGUCGGUUCCACCGUUAAACAGCUGUAUCGCUCAGCAGGUACGCAACGUUGAUGCGCCUCCAUUUCCUCCUCUGCAGAAUUGUGGGAGUUCCUGUCGUGGCUCAGCAGAAUCCGGCUUGUAUCCACAAGGAUGCGGGUUCUAUCCCUGGCCUCGCUCGGUGAAUCUGGGAUCCAGCCUUGCCGUGAGCUGUGGUGUAGGCCGGAAGCUGUAGCUCCAAUUUGACCCCUAGCCUGGAAACUUCCACAUGCUGAGGGUUCGGCCUUAAAAACAACAACGACAACAAAAUAGUACUUACGUCAUAGGGUUGCUGUCAGCAUUAAAUGAGAGAGUCUGUUAAAAACGCCGAGAACAUUGCCUGGCAAUAUACAUUGCAGAAUACUCAAUAAAUAUUAGCUGGUGUUAUUUCAUACUUCAUCAAAC
rnacentral:lncRNA from 1 species